GACAGCAGUAGCCGCGGGAAUACGUAGGUGGCAGGCGUUAUCCGGAAUUAUUGGGCGUAAAGCGCGCGUAGGCGGUUUUUUAAGUCUGAUGUGAAAGCCCACGGCUCAACCGUGGAGGGUCAUUGGAAACUGGAAAACUUGAGUGCAGAAGAGGAAAGUGGAAUUCCAUGUGUAGCGGUGAAAUGCGCAGAGAUAUGGAGGAACACCAGUGGCGAAGGCGACUUUCUGGUCUGUAACUGACGCUGAUGUGCGAAAGCGUGGGGAUCAAACAGGAUUAGAUACCCCUGUAGUCCCUGUCUCUUAUAC
rnacentral:rRNA from 1 species